GAAAUGCGAUAAGUAAUGUGAAUUGCAGAAUUCAGUGAAUCAUCGAAUCUUUGAACGCACAUUGCGCCCGCUAGUAUUCUGGCGGGCAUGCCUGUUCGAGCGUCAUUUCAACCAUCAAGCCCUAGGCUUGUGUUGGGGGCCUGCAGCCACUGCAGCCCACUAAAAGCAGUGGCGGGCUCGCUGUCAUUCCGAGCGCAGUAGUUACAUCUCGCUCUGGGCGUGGCAGCGGGUACUUGCCGUAAAACACUCUUUCUAAGGUUGACCUCGGAUCAGGUAGGAAUACCCGCUGAACUUAAGC
rnacentral:misc_RNA from 1 species